rnacentral:rRNA from 1 species
UAGGGAAUCUUCGGCAAUGGGGGGAACCCUGACCGAGCAACGCCGCGUGAGUGAAGAAGGUUUUCGGAUCGGAAAGCUCUUUUGUUAAGGAAGCAAGAGUGUGAGAAUGGAAAGUUCAUGCUGUUACGGUACUUAACCAGAAAGGGACGGCUAACUACGUGCCAGCCGCCGCGGUAAUACGUAGGUCCCUUGCGUUGUCCGGCUUUAUUGGGCGUAAAGCGAGCGCAGGCGGUUAGAAAAGUCUGAAGUGAAAGGCAGUGGCUCAACAAUUGUAGGCUUUGGAAACUGUUUAACUUGAGUGAAGAAGGGGAGAGUGGAAUUCCAUGUGUAGCGGUGAAAUGCGUAGAUAUAUGGAGGAACACCGGUGGCGAAAGCGGCUCUCUGGGCUGUAACUGACGCUGAGGCUCGAAAGCGUGGGGAGCGAACAGG